AGAACGAACGCUGGCGGCAUGCCUAACACAUGCAAGUCGAACGAGACCUUCGGGUCUAGUGGCGCACGGGUGCGUAACGCGUGGGAAUCUGCCCUUGGGUUCGGAAUAACAGCGAGAAAUUGCUGCUAAUACCGGAUGAUGACGUAAGUCCAAAGAUUUAUCGCCCAAGGAUGAGCCCGCGUAGGAUUAGCUUGUUGGUGAGGUAAGAGCUCACCGAAGGCGACGUAUCCUUAGCUGGUCUGAGAGGAUGAUCAGCCACGACUGGGACUGGAGACACCGGCCCAGACCGUCCGUACGGGAGCAGCGAGGUGGGAAUAGUGGAACAGUGGGACGAAGCCUAGACU
rnacentral:rRNA from 1 species